rnacentral:rRNA from 1 species
AUGCCACCUUCCGUGCACGACACGGAAGGCCCGCCGUUCAUGAAGCAUGGUCGUGUCUUUAGUGCGCAUCGCCGGAUGAACGACAUGCUGGGACACGCUAUCCCUCAUUUAUGUCGCUUCAGCUUGGAUGAGUCUCCAUCAUGUGGAACCGGACUAGAAAUUUGUGACAAUGAUUCCCAUUGCCCAUCGCUAUGGAUCGUGCCAUCCAUGAAGAACACCUGGGACUGGAACCUGGAGGAGGACAUUACUGCCAUCUCUUCUUCCUCCUCCUCUCUUCUUCUUCCUCCUCUCUUCCCCAUCGUCGGCCGCACACCAUUUACCCCUGCUCGCUGCUCGCCCGCCCACGCCAUCUUCCUUGGUAGCUCGCGCGUACAAUAUCCCCCCGCUCACUGCUCGGCCACACGAGGAGAAGCAAACGCAAAUGCGCUGGCCUUCCUGGAAUCACACCAGCCGAUGGCUGGUGGUUUAUCCCUCGUUCAGCUAACGGCGUCGAAGAAGGAUUGGUCGGUGCUGCUGGCUGGCGUCAAGUUCGAUCCCACGGAUCAGGAGCUGAUCGAGCACCUUGUGGCCAAAGUGAGUGCUGACAGCGCGAGAUUUCAGUCUCUCAUCGAUUUGUUCAUACCAACCAUCGACAGCGAGCACGACAUAUGCUACACCCAACCUGAGAAACUUCCAGGUAUCACACUGAGUGGACUAAGGAAGCAUUUCUUCCAGCGCAAUUCCAGGGCGUUCAAAAGGGGCACGUGGAUGCGUCGCAAGAUACAAUCGGAGUGCGCAAAAAAGGUUCUGGUGCUGCACACCAACAAGAACUUCGACCAGCAGAGGACCAACUGGGUGAUGCACCAGGACCACCUCAGGGACCUGGAGCAAGAGAAGGAGCGGGAGCUGGUCCUCUGCAAGAUUUUCUACCAGACGAACACUAGGGCCAGGAGUAAAAAGAUUGUCGAGCAAGUUUCAACUGGCCUGUAG